rnacentral:rRNA from 1 species
GUAGGGAAUAUUGGGCAAUGGGCGAAAGCCUGACCCAGCAACGCCGCGUGAAGGAAGAAGGUUUUCGGAUCGUAAACUUCUAUCCUAGGUGAAGAUAAUGACGGUAGCCUAGAAGGAAGCCCCGGCUAACUACGUGCCAGCAGCCGCGGUAAUACGUAGGGGGCAAGCGUUGUCCGGAAUGAUUGGGCGUAAAGGGCGCGUAGGCGGCCUUCUAAGUCCGAUGUGAAAGUCCUGCUUUUAAGGUGGGAAUUGCAUUGGAAACUGGAGGGCUUGAGUGCAGGAGAGGUAAGUGGAAUUCCCGGUGUAGCGGUGAAAUGCGUAGAGAUCGGGAGGAACACCAGUGGCGAAGGCGACUUACUGGACUGUAACUGACGCUGAGGCGCGAAAGUGUGGGGAGCAAACAGGAUUAGAAACCCGGGUAGUCC